CAGAAAAUAAUUUAAAAAAAAAAUAAUAAAUUUGGAGUUUAAAAAUAGUUUAACUAACUUUUUCUGA
rnacentral:tRNA from 1 species